rnacentral:rRNA from 1 species
CCUACGGCGGGCAGCAGUGGGGAAUAUUGGACAAUGGGCGAAAGCCUGAUCCAGCCAUGCCGCGUGUGUGAAGAAGGCCUUCGGGUUGUAAAGCACUUUCAGUGGGGAAGAAAGCCUUGGGGCUAAUACCCUCGAGGAAGGACAUCACCCACAGAAGAAGCACCGGCUAACUCCGUGCCAGCAGCCGCGGUAAUACGGAGGGUGCGAGCGUUAAUCGGAAUUACUGGGCGGAAAGCGCGCGUAGGCGGUCUGAUAAGCCGGUUGUGAAAGCCCCGGGCUCAACCUGGGAACGGCAUCCGGAACUGUCAGGCUAGAGUGCAGGAGAGGAAGGUAGAAUUCCCGGUGUAGCGGUGAAAUGCGUAGAGAUCGGGAGGAAUACCAGUGGCGAAGGCGGCCUUCUGGACUGACACUGACGCUGAGGUGCGAAAGCGUGGGUAGCAAACAGGAUUAGAUACCCUUGUAGUC